CGCCAGCAGCCGCGGUAAAACGUAGGAGGCGAGCGUUAUCCGGAUUUACUGGGUGUAAAGCGCGUGCAGGCGGUUUGUUAAGUUGGGUGUGAAAGCUCCUGGCUCAACUGGGAGAGGUCGCUCAAGACUGGCAGACUGGAGAAUGGUAGGGGAAGGUGGAAUUCCGGGUGUAGUGGUGAAAUGCGUAGAUAUCCGGAGGAACACCAGUGGCGAAAGCGGCCUUCUAGACCAUAUCUGACGCUCAGACGCGAAAGCUAGGGGAGCAAACGGGAUUAGAGACCCCGGUAGUCCUAGCCGUAAACGAUGUGAACUUGGCGCUGGGUGGGUAAAACCAAUCAGUGCCGCAGCAAACGCGAUAAGUUCACCACCUGGGGACUACGGCCGCAAGGUUAAAACUCAAAGGAAUUGACGGGGGCCCGCACAAGC
rnacentral:rRNA from 1 species